UCUCCGAGCGGACGGCGGCGACGUCGGACUCGUCGGCGCCGAGUUCGAAGGCGCGCUCGGCGGCGUCGGUCUCGCCGUCGUCGUCGGCC
rnacentral:tRNA from 1 species